GCUGAACUCGCCGCGGCUCACUGCGGCGUCAGCUGGCCCCGUUCUCCCCGCUGUCGCCGAGCCAGAGCGGGCCACGCGCCCCGUUGCACUCCAGAAAGGACGGAGGCGGACGAGGACCUGGAGGAAAUGGCUCGGCUGCGCUCCGCCUUCGCCGUCUGCGAUGCGACGGCGCGGGGAGCCAGCAGCGUGAGGAGUUCAGCCCGCGGUGAGCGGAGCUGCAGGUGUGGAUGGCGGACGCAGAGGCCGUGUUGCAGCGGCUCGGCGCCCGCCCCUGCCAAGAGUUCGUGAGCUGGGGGCAGUGCCUGGGCUGGGGGCCGCGGGAACUAGUGCCCAUCGCGGCCCCGGCGGUGUUGGACCCCGGAGACAGCAAAGACUACGAGGGGGACGAGCACUUGGCGGCGGCGCUGGCCGCCCCUUGGGACCCGGUGAGCCUGGGCGGAGCUUGGCAGGAUAUCCAGGCGCGACUCGGGAACAAGGCCAAGUUCACCUCUAGUAGCUUUGAGGCCAGAUGUACCACCCAGAAGGGAUGUUAUCCACAUAGGAAAAACACAAAGCUGAGGGAGCCCUCAGUGACCUCAGACGUCAGUAUUGAAACAGAGGUGGGAGAUCUCCAGGUGACAAUGAAGAAACUCAAAAAGGUAGGUUUGUGGCAGCUGGAACUUGAGGGGUAACUUCAGUAUCUCAGGGUCAAAAUUAUUAGCAACUAAAACCAUAUAGAAUCAUUGAAGCAGCAGAUGGAUCAGAUUUCAGAAUCAAAUUGGACUCCUUGGUAGAAAUUUCUUUUAAAGGCAUGGAAUUUCUUUUUUUCCGGUUCUAAGGGCAGCUUCUCUUUUGCAUAGAUCUAAUAAAUACUUCUGAUCCCUUCA
rnacentral:lncRNA from 1 species